GUGUAAAGGCACAAGGGAGCUUGACUGCGAGACCUACAAGUCGAGCAGGGACGAAAGUCGGGCUUAGUGAUCCGGUGGUUCCGCAUGGAAGGGCCAUCGCUCAACGGAUAAAAGCUACCCCGGGGAUAACAGGCUUAUCUCCCCCAAGAGUCCACAUCGACGGGGAGGUUUGGCACCUCGAUGUCGGCUCAUCGCAUCCUGGGGCUGUAGUCGGUCCCAAGGGUUGGGCUGUUCGCCCAUUAAAGCGGUACGCGAGCUGGGUUCAGAACGUCGUGAGACAGUUCGGUCCCUAUCCGUCGCGGGCGCAGGAAAUUUGAGAGGAGCUGUCCUUAGUACGAGAGGACCGGGAUGGACGCACCGCUGGUGUACCAGUUGUUCUGCCAAGGGCAUCGCUGGGUAGCUAUGUGC
rnacentral:rRNA from 1 species